rnacentral:rRNA from 1 species
GCCUACGGGAGGCAGCAGUAGGGAAUCUUCCACAAUGGGCGAAAGCCUGAUGGAGCAACGCCGCGUGGGUGAAGAAGGUCUUCGGAUCGUAAAACCCUGUUGUUAGAGAAGAAAGUGCGUGAGAGUGACUGUUCAUGUUUCGACGGUAUCUAACCAGAAAGCCACGGCUAACUACGUGCCAGCAGCCGCGGUAAUACGUAGGUGGCAAGCGUUAUCCGGAUUUAUUGGGCGUAAAGGGAACGCAGGCGGUCUUUUAAGUCUGAUGUGAAAGCCUUCGGCUUAACCGGAGUAGUGCAUUGGAAACU